GGAAGCGUGGGUGAGCGGCUUAAACCACCUCCCUGCUAAGGAGGCACUCCCGCUUCGGGGGUCGAAAGUUCGAAUCUUUCCGUUUCCG
rnacentral:tRNA from 1 species